CGCAUGCGAUGGUCGCAGCUGACGCAGCCACGCCGCGUGAGUGAAGAAGGCCUUCGGGUUGUAAAGCUCUGUCCUCGGGGAAGAAAUGGCGAUGGCUAUAAUCGGUGUUGUUUGCCGGUACCUGCAAAGAAACCCCCGGCUAAUUCCUUGCCACCACCCCCGGUAUUAA
rnacentral:rRNA from 1 species